CCUACGGGUGGCUGCAGUGGGGAAUAUUGGACAAUGGGGGCAACCCUGAUCCAGCCAUGCCGCGUGUGUGAAGAAGGCCCUCGGGUUGUAAAGCACUUUCAGUGAGGAAGAACGCCUGGUGGUUAAUACCCAUCAGGAAAGACAUCUCUCACAGAAGAAGCACCGGCUAACUCCGUGCCAGCAGCCGCGGUAAUACGGAGGGUGCGAGCGUUAAUCGGAAUUACUGGGCGUAAAGCGCGCGUAGGUGGCUUGAUAAGCCGGUUGUGAAAGCCCCGGGCUCAACCUGGGAACGGCAUCCGGAACUGUCAAGCUAGAGUGCAGGAGAGGAAGGUAGAAUUCCCGGUGUAGCGGUGAAAUGCGUAGAGAUCGGGAGGAAUACCAGUGGCGAAGGCGGCCUUCUGGACUGACACUGACACUGAGGUGCGAAAGCGUGGGUAGCAAACAGGAUUAGAUACCCUAGUAGUC
rnacentral:rRNA from 1 species